rnacentral:rRNA from 1 species
CCUACGGGAGGCAGCAGUGGGGAAUUUUGCGCAAUGGGCGAAAGCCUGACGCAGCAACGCCGCGUGCGGGAUGAAGGCCUUCGGGUUGUAAACCGCUUUCAGCAGGGAUGAAAUUGACAGUACCUGCAGAAGAAGCCCCGGCUAACUACGUGCCAGCAGCCGCGGUAAUACGUAGGGGGCAAGCGUUAUCCGGAUUCAUUGGGCGUAAAGAGCGCGUAGGCGGCUUGUUAAGUCAGAUGUGAAAACCGGGGGCUCAACCCGCGGCCUGCAUCUGAAACUGGCAGGCUUGAGUCUGGUAGAGGAAAGUGGAAUUCCCAGUGUAGCGGUGAAAUGCGCAGAUAUUGGGAGGAACACCAGUGGCGAAGGCGGCUUUCUGGGCCACGACUGACGCUGAGGCGCGAAAGCUAGGGGAGCGAACAGGAUUAGAUACCCUGGUAGUC